rnacentral:lncRNA from 1 species
AGCGACUCCGCCUGGCGCCCACCCCCUCCAGCGCCUGGCGCCUCCAGUCCUCCUGCUCCGCCUCCCUGCGCGGCUCGGGGUUCGCACAGUGGAAACGGCCUCGGGGCGGAGGGGCCUUGGAGGAACCCGGGCGGGACGGACUGCGUGGACCUGCUGGCCACCCCCCGGCCCGCUCCCUCGAAGCCGGGCUCCGGCACGCAGUACCGUUGCCUUGGAAACCGCGGCUGGCCUGCAAGGGCAAAACAGUGGGGUUGGCGGGAAGCCGGAAACUGGAAUUUUCCAGGCCCUGCAGGUUGACGUGUGUGCACUCGGGAUUCACCCCCUGAAGGGCUCGUGCAGGAGAGAGAGGGGAAAGCUGACCUCUGAUUACCGGUCUCUGCGAUGCCAACUCUGAUCCUGUCUGUGACUUACUCCAAAUUUUUCUUCACCAUAAUCGCCUGUGUGUGUGCCGUACUGGGGGUUGACCCCAGGGCCUCCCACGUGCUAGGCAAAUGCGCUGCCGCUAAGCUGCAACCCUCCUACCGUCCUGCCUCUCUUCAGGGCACAGAAUCACUGGUAGAAGUGCAAGAGCCCCGCGCCCCCAGUCAGCCCACCCCGGCUUUCUCCCACCAACGUGCUGUUUGGGGCCCAGUGUGCCCCAGGAGGUCCCCUUCUCCUGCGCCACCACAUAAAUCUCUGAGUUCCCCAAAGCUCAGAAUCCCAAGCAUCACAGCCGGUGCCCAGAGUCAAACCUGCAGAUAAAAGCAGCGAUGUCCCCUCUGCCAGGGCUCCGCCUCCUCUUUGCAAUCAUCACCAUGACACCAGAAAACGAUCCUGGUGCCGUUCAGGAAAAGGAUCGCCCUCCCUCCCUGUCCUGUCCUCCCUCCCUCCCGAGGGUGGCCCAGCGGAGGGUGUCUGGGGUGCUGCGGCCCGGUCCUCUGGGAUCAAGUACUGGCCUCCGAGCCCCGUGCUCACCUCAGCCCGGGCAGCGUGGAGCCCCGCCCACCAGCCUGAGUCCCCUGGUCCUGAAGCUGCCCCAGGCAGGGCCCUUCCACAGUCAUCAGGGACGUGCUCGCCUCGUCCAUGUCCCCGCUGUGGCCAGAGGCCUCACCACAGCCCAGUCCACUCCGGCCACAGUCAGGAUCGACCUUCCUGAUCCGCCCGUGUGGUCCCGUCCGUGAGAAGCAGGCUGCAGGCCAUGCUGCCUGUGAAGAGCCUCGCCGAGUCCCCUGCUGGGCGCUCCACAGGCCCACAGUCCUGCUGGUCUGGCCUGGCUAAGUAGUCAGUUAGGGCACCCGACACACCCACUCCUGCCAGCAUCCUGCAUCUGUCCUCAGUGGUGCGUCCCGUGAAAGGAGCACAGCCCGGCAGUCAGCGCGGGACCCACUGGUGAAGUGAAGGCUGUGGGGCUGAGUCAGGCCCCACAGGUGGGCGUGGCCUUGGCACAGCAGUGCUGCUGAAACUCCCGGUCCCGGGACUGGAUGGACGCGUCCUCAGAACAGAGAGCCACGCUGGGCUGUCCGAGGAGGUGCACGCUGCUGGCUAGUGCACAGUGUCCUGCAGGACCCUUAUCUCUAGUCUGCCCAUCCUCCUCACCCUCCUGGUCCUGCACAGUAUCACAAGCCAAGUCGGCACCUGGCGAGUCUACAAGGUGGGCUCUGGUUUCCACUUCUUAGACCGCAGACUCCAGAGUUUUAUUUUUGUUUACUUGUUUUUGUUGACUCCAGAGUUUUAUGUAGGAGUUGUCAACCCCAGCAGCAAGCAGCUUGCUAUGGGGGCGAUUUCUGCAGUGUGUGGCAGAUGGGGGUGCCCUUGAUGCACCUGGUGCUCCCCUGUAAGACCUCGGGGCAGCCUCUUUCUGCAGAAUGGGGCUGGGCACGUGGGGGCUCCAGGCCUCUGCUGUCACUUGGGAGGAGCCAGCUCUGGCAUCAAGCAGGUGGUCUGUUCUCAGCAGGCUGCACAUCCAGUGGAAGUGGAAGUGAUAGAGAAAAUUUGAACUAUAGGUUAGUUAUUAAGGUAGCUGAAGUAGAAUAAGUAAUACAUUCCUUUAAGAUUUACCUUUCCCGUAACUCAUAUUGUUUAAGGUGAUGGCUAACUGAACCUUUGACCUGUACCCUAGCUGUAGAUAACAUUUAACCUGGAGAAAAGAAAGUAGAAAUGUUUGGGUAGUUUACAAUGUAUGUGUUUUAGGUGCCAUCUGUUUGAUAUAUGUCAGUGACUAUAACCAUUAACAGGAACUAGUUGUAAAAGGGAAACAGAAAUUUUACUGACUAAGACCACUAGGAAUGAGGUAAAGGCUAAAAGAAGAUAUAAAAGGAAAUGUUAAAGCAAAGGACGGGGCAGGCAUUGACCAGACGAGUUUCUGGCGGUCCUGCCCGCUUGCAAGUAAAGGCUUUUUUUUCCCCCCAACUUCUGUGUCUCCGUGCAUUUCUUUCCGGGAUUCCAAAACACAAGGUGAGGAUCUUGCACAAGGCAGCAUUGCUGUCACUUUGGAGGUGGUGCAUCAGGUAGUUGUGGCCGUCUUCCUGGAAACCAACCACAUACUCAUCAUCUAGGAAUACGUGAAGCUUGAAGCUGGACUGGCCAUCCAGGGUGGCCUGGGUGUCUGCUGCUGCUCGGCAAGUCCUUCUGGCUGGCCUUCUGCAGGACCAUGCUGGGAGGUGGCCAUGGAGACUCCCACUGUGCCCUUCGGCUGCUCCGGGCCAGGCUGAGGUGGGGGGAGACAGACAGAGGGUAGAGCAGAGGCGUAACUUCACGGCUGUACUGGGAAUCAGAAUGAGGGAGGAAACUGUGCAGCUGCCCAAACUGUGCCUCCUCUGGUUGGAGUCUGCCCGGCAGGGGCUGCAGAUGCGAGGUCGGCACAGCCAGAUUCCGAGUGGAUGGCAACUCAGCCUCAGACUCGGCCUUGGCUCAGGGGCGUCCGAGUCCACGUGCUGCAGGUGCUUGGGGUAGCAGGACACUGGCAUCCCUGCGCACCCUUUCAUAACUGCACAUCCCAG